rnacentral:rRNA from 1 species
AUACGGAGGAUGCAAGCGUUAUCCGGAUUUAUUGGGUUUAAAGGGUGCGUAGGCGGUUUGCUAAGCGGGAGGUGAAAUGCCGGCGCUCAACGUCGGAAGUGCCUCCCGAACUGGUGGACUUGAAUGACUUUGCCGUGGGAGGAAUGUGUAGUGUAGCGGUGAAAUGCUUAGGGAUGACACAGAACACCGAUUGCGAAGGCAUCUCUCGAAGGGGUGAUUGACGCUGAGGCACGAAAGCGUGGGGAUCAAACAGGAUUAGAUACCCUGGUAGUCCACGCUGUAAACGAUGAUGGCUAACCGCUGGGCUUAUCAGGUCAGUGGCCAAGCGAAAGCGAUAAGCCAUCCACCUGGGGAGUACGACCGCAAGGUUGAAACUCAAAUGAAUUGACGGGG